UUUAUUCAUAGAAAAUACCUUUUAGGUUGCUGCACGUUUACUGCAGCAUAUCAGCAAGAAUCAGCUUUCCUGGUUGAACUAGGAAAGCUUCAUUUCUUUAUUUCUGAGUUGAAUUGUAUGCCAUAUACUUACACAAAACACAACCUAUGAAGUAGCAAUUGAGAGAUUGGUCUUGCACAUCUGAAGAAUAAGUUUGAAAAAGUAGAAGAACCAACAUGAACUCAUGGAACACAGGUAAAAUCAUGCAUAUGCAUUUCAUGGUUUUUCAUCGAGGAUAGCAGUAUUGUCUGCUAUCCUAAAAAUCUGGGUUUCCAGCUUUUCAGUCUUUUGUUUCUUUUGUCUUAGGUGUAUGUUUCUUUACCCUUGUUCCAUAAGAACUAUGUCUGGGUGAGAUCCUCAUUUGAAUUUCAAAUUGACAACUAAGAUAAAAGUCAUGCCUUGGUGCUCAAAUUAGUCUAGGGUUUGAUGCCUUUAUCUCAACCCGUGACCCAUGUUUUAGCUCUUAGGCUCCAGCUGUGGUUUGCUGUGUUUGUGAUACACAAACCAAUAUUUGCAGCUGUCUUUGUUUGAUAUCAAAUAAUAGUGGUUUGCUAAACCAUUGUGGUAUUAUGCUUUUGGGAAAAAGUUUGCAAAACCUUUGUCUCUUGCUUUUAAAUCAAACAUUGUUUAUGAUUAUUUUGUUUCUUUCUUUCUUGGCCUAGGACAACUGCAUAUGACCUCUCACAUUCAAAGUUUGGCCAAGGAUCCUUCCUUGCUUUGGCCCUCGUGCCUGCCCUCUUUUGGCACCUCUUUGGCUUGUGUCUCUCUCUUGUUAGAGCACUCCAUCAGCCUAUAUAUAUUGAGCAAGGCUGCCUUUGCUCUGUGGUUGUCAAAAUGUAGUUUUUACAUUUGCAUUGUUGGGUUUUGGUUUUCUUUUGCAUUGUUCAUUAGUCUCUAAGUCUUCCUUUUGUGAUUAUAAACCUUAGAGCUAAACAAAACCUUUUUCUCAUAAACUCAUUGCAUUCUGCAUACCAUGAGAUCAGUUGGUAAUGCAGCAACCCAGGAAGUGUUCAUGAAAGAAGCAGCUGAGGAUAGCUAAGUUCUGAUGUAUCCCACUGAGGUAGCUGGGUUCAUGAAAGAAUCAGUUUAGGAUAACUGAGUUUCUGAGAGUGAAACUUCUGAGAAGUGUUCAAGAAGAAUCAGUUAAGUGAUAGCUGAGUUCUGAGUUGAAACUUCUUAUACCUUCAUGUGUAGCCACUUAGAGACAAGAGAGGUAGUUCUAGAAUAGUUUGGGACUAGGUAGCAUAGCAAGUCGUUGUUGUAUCCUAUACUGUAAUCUUGUAAGGAGUGAGGUACUCAGAAACAAGAGAGAAAGUAUAGAUCUAGACUAGUGGGUAGUUUAGGCAGGAUAGCAAGCCAGUUAUGUAUCCCUAGACUAUAAUCUUGUAAGAAGUGAGUUUUACAUAGUGGAAAGGUUUAUCCCUCAAGAGUUAGGGGCACGCAGUUUUUCUCCCUGAUUGCAGGGUUUCUGCGAGUAAAAAACAUCUUGGUGUUCAUUGUUAUUUUACUGCAACUUUUAUUUAUUGUCAUUGUGUAUUUGUUAUUCAGAAUAGCUAUAACUCUUGCUAUCCCUGAGAACGAAUUUAUACGGAAAAAAGUUGUUAAGGGCCUAUUCACACCCCCACCCCCACCCCGGGACCUUUAGUCUGGCCUUGUUUCGUUAGUUCUGACAGCUUUUGGCUCGUUGGCCAUGGUUGUAUUGAUCAAUUCAUUCAUCGGAUUACCAACAUAUAAAGCAGAUGAGGGUGUGACAAGUUAGUUAUAGGCUUGCAGCGAUUAAAAUUCACUCAUCCAACGACAACAGAAGGAACAAACUAGGAUGAAUAUAUCCACACAAAAGUUGGUUCCCCUUGGGUCUAUUAACUGUUAAUCCACCUGAAAACUGAGCAAAGUAAUUGAAAUUCGUUCUUUCUCUUGGCUAAAUACAAGCAGAAGUAUCUAAUUAUCAAUACAUAGUACAAGCAGAACUAUCUGAUUAUUAAAGUAUUAUAAUCCCAGGGGCCGGCGAACAGUUCAAACCAGAUACUUGCCUACAACUUGGUCUUUGUAAGAAUAGAAAGUUUUUCAGCUUAGUUAGAAUGGAGACAUAGACGAACAAGAAGAAAGAUGUGGUCCGCCCCAAAUACCAACAGAGAAAACUGUCAGACAAAGAGCAUAAGUAAUGCCUUAAUGAUUGGUAUGUGUCCUAUGUAGACGUUAAUCACAAAGAGGUCUCACUGGACGAUUGUUUUUUCAGUACAAAGCAGUUGUAAUCAUCAUUGAUGGGUUUUAAAUACUGCAAGUAUGUUUUGUCAUUAGUAUAUGAUUAGCAAGUCCAGAGUCCAGGGACUGAAAAAAUAAUCUGUUCAUCUGGUAGCUUCUGGUUCAGUGACUUUGCAAUGGCGCUGUUUAUCUUAAUCACCGUGGCACUACUGCUAUCCGUUUUUGCGUUCUCAGCUUUCUUUGUGCUGCGAUCAUGGACUUCAUCACCGAAAAGCAUGGUGGGAAUCCCAGGCAGCUUGGGAUGGCCUAUUGUUGGAGAAAGCUUCUCAUUUAUAUCAGAGUUCUCAAGUCCAUCUGGUAUAUACAGCUUCAUGCACAAGAGGCAGCAGAGGUAAACAAUUAAAUGACAUCAUUUCGUUCAUUACAAGAAACAUACUUUGAUAUAUCUAUGCAUUUCAUGUUAUAUUUUCAGGUAUGGUAAAGUGUUCAAGACUUUUGUCUUGGGUAGAUUCAGUGUGUUCAUGACCGGGAGAGAAGCAAGUAAGAUGUUGUUAGCAGGAAGAGACGGAAUGGUAAGCUUAAACCUGUUCUACACAGGACAGCAGGUGCUAGGUCCAACCAGCUUGCUACAAACUACCGGAGAAGAGCACAAACGGCUUAGACGGCUGAUUGCUGAGCCUCUAUCGGUUGAUGGCCUAAAAAAAUAUUUUCAGUUUAUUAAUAACCUGGCAAUUGAAAUAUUAGAAGAUUGGCCUGGCCGAACUGUUUUUGUCCUUGAAGAAGCUUCUACAGUUAAGUAUUGGUUACCAAGUCAUGUAGCAAAUUUCCUAGUCUAAAGUUUAACUUGUGGGGAAUGAAAGUUAAUUAGUCUGUUAAUUGUGUGUGCAGUUCACUCUCAAAGUUAUUGGUAACAUGAUCAUGAGCUUGGAGCCUGCAGGUGAAGAACAAGAGAAAUUCCGAGCCAAUUUUAAACUCAUUUCUUCCUCCUUUGCAUCCUUGCCAUUCAAAAUCCCUGGAACAGCUUUUCAUUCUGGUAUUCAGGUAUCACAUGCAUCUUUAUAAACCAUCGAUGUUGAUCAGUGACGAACAAAUUGCUGACAUAUUGAUUGUUCCACUUUGUCAGGCACGAGAUAGGAUGUAUGCAAUGUUAGACUCGGCAAUUUCUAAAAGGAGAAAUGGAGAAGGAUUCCAACAAGACUUCUUGGAAUCACUGAUAAUGAAACAUAGCAAACUAGCAGGCAGUGAAGAUAAUAAGGAUAAAUUGACUGACAAACAAUUGAAGGACAAUGUAUUAACUCUACUGGUUGCAGGUCAUGAUACCACAACUGCUGCUCUCACAUGGCUCAUCAAGUUCCUUGGAGAAAAUCCUGUUGUCCUGGAACAACUAAGAGUAAGUCAUCUAUAUGUAGCUUGGUUAUAACUGAUUAUAUUUGGUUUCCAAAAGACUGAAGCCUUAGAAUUGUGGACUUGCAGGAUGAGCACAGACAAAUUCAAGCAAACCGCGAUGGAGUCAAUCUAACUUGGUCCGAAGUUAACAACAUGCCUUACACCGCCAAGGUAAACAGUGUAUCAAUACUCAGAAGUCAGAACCUUAAUGUAAUAAUAUUGUCAAUUAUAAACUCAAGCAUUGUUCAUUGUUGUUGACACUCAGGUAAUCAGCGAAACUCUUCGAAGAGCCACUAUUUUACCUUGGUUUUCAAGAAAGGCUGCCCAGAAUUUUGAGAUUGAUGGUACAAUUUUUUGUCUCCACACACCACAUAACGAAAAGCCUUUGUUUUAAGCUAAUGUUUACUACACCAAGUUUGAUCAUCUGGUUUCUAAGAGAUUUUCCAUUACUGACAGGAUAUAAAAUAGAGAAAGGUUGGUCUAUUAAUUUGGAUGUUGUCUCUAUUCAUCAUGAUCCAGAAGUUUUUCCCGAUCCUGAAAAGUUUGAUCCCUCCAGGUUUGAUGUAAGCGCGCACUGCCCCUACCAAACCUUUUAGCUGUGGCAUUGCUCUCUGAUACAUUGGGAACUAAUUAUGGAAUAAAAAUACAGGAAUCUCUGAAGCCUUUUACCUUUCUUGGAUUUGGUAGCGGACAGCGUAUGUGCCCUGGAAUCAAUUUGGCCAAACUUGAAAUCUCAGUUUUCAUUCAUCACCUGGUCUGCAAAUACAAGUAAGAUGAAGAGGAACUGUGAGAAAUAUGGUCUAAAAUAGAAUGUAACAGAGAAUGUUUUUAAGAAACCGAAGUUUGGAAGUAGUUGAUCAAAUGAUCUGAUUUAUUACAUGAUAACUUUAACUAAAUGAGCAUGUCAACUCUUCAUGUAACAAGGAUUUCGUGUUGCAACCUCAAUUCUGAUUCUGGAUUUCUAUGAACUGUUUCAGGUGGAAGCCUCUGGAAAAAGAUGACUCAGUCCAGCCAACACUAGUAAGAAUGCCAAAGAACAAGUAUCCGAUUGUAGCCGAGCCACUUUAGUACAAUUUUCACGAUGCACUUGGCACGACUCGCUGUUUUCUUCCUCCCCCCUGUGAAUAUAUAGUUAACAGCAAAUAGUUCCUUUAUAAGGAGAAUAAUGUGAUCACCAAUAAUGUUGAAGGUUGCAGUGGCACCUUUAACAAAUCAAUUGUGAUUCUGAAUAAUGUUGACUGUUGCAGUCAUUGAUAAUUGCAUUUCAGACAUUCCACACACUUCUUUUCAAUAAGUCCAACCGAUUAAGGAUCACCGUCUAGCUUAUGUUGAAACAAUUGAUAUCAAAGUCCAGCCAUAUCAAACAUAAUAUUGUGUUUGUAUUUGUUUAGCACAUCAGUUAUCUGAGAUAUGUUUCUCAUUGUCAUAAAUAUAAGUUAAACAGUUUUUUCUACAAUCAGUGUUAAUUACCUGAUGUUAAUGUGUUUAAAAACUUGAAUAUGAUCAGUUUUCAAACAUAUCUGAGUAGAAUUGAUCCAUCUGAAAUCCAAAGAAUAGCUCUUCAUCCAUGCUUCUAUGCAACUUCUAUAAUUGUAAGAGAAUAAGUUCGUGUUAUUUAGUUUUUUUUUGUCAGGUAAAUUACAACCUUAAGUCGAACUCACAACCUCUCAUUUAUUAAAAAGAAGACUAUGUCACUAGACCAAAUAGUACUGGGUUUGACGUUAUUUAGGUUAUGAGGAACUUUGACAUCAUGAUCUUGAAUAUGACAUUUAUGCUAGUAAAAGUACAAAUUUAAGAAAGAAAAUCAAAGCAACUCCUUACCGCAGCAACUCCUUAAAACUUAAGAAAGAAAAUCAAAGCAACUCCUUCACAAAUUUAACACUCUUACUGCAGCAACUCCUACAUAAAAAAAAAAAAAAAAAAAAAACAAGAAAUGAUAUAAAAACGUUCGUGUCUCUGAAGUAAUAUACAGUGGAAUAUUCCCCAGUCUAGGCCUUGGUCUUUUUCCAUAUAUUCAAGGGAUUCGUCUUGUGAGUACUCUAAUCCUUUCUCGAAGAACUAGGGUUUAACUGUUUAAGAGUAGCCAUAUCAGUCCCAUUCUUACGGCUUUCCAUAUACUCUUGAAGCAGCCAAACACAUGAGAAAGAUGGCAGGUAAUACGGUUAAUUUGAUAGGACUAUCAGCAUGGUGAAAGAAGUAGAUAUACUGAACUGCGGAGAUAACACAUUGACAGAUGCUGCUAUAGCUAAUCCGUAAGUGUCCGGGCGACUAUUAAAGAAAAUGUUAGAAGGAUAUGGAUACGAUAUGCACUGCAGUUCUCCCAGCUCUUCAGUGUACUAGGCUUUCCUUGUGAAUGAGAUCCCAAAUGCAAGUGAAUACAGCUGCAAUAGCAAGCAGCAUUCCGAUCAAUUCAUUAGGAAAUUGCACAGAAGCUGCUAUAUUAUGCGGCAUAUAUUAUGCUACAUAUCAAAACCAAACAUUUAUGGGGAAAUCAAAAUAUGUAUAAUCAAAAAUUAAUUAUAAUAUUUGGCUGAAAACGUUCUUCAUCAGCUCGACUACUAAUGCUCCCAACACUACUUGUCCAAAACAUAUGACAACUAUAACAAAUAUCAUACAGGAUGCUCCCAACACUACUUGUCCAAAACAUAUGACAACUAUAACAAAUAUCAUACAGGCAAUACAGGUAGUUCACUUCGGCAUGACUGCUUUGUAUGCAAUGCAACAGCAAAAUACCAUGCAUAACACAGCAUCAUGCAGGCAACUUACUUGGGGAGGAACCAAAUCUAAAAAAAAAGAUGACACAUUGGUUAAAAUGAUUCAUUCUGCAACCUACAGAAAUAUACACAGCUAAAUAUCCAACAAUCGCGGAUGUUGGUCAACUAAGAUAUGUUUCUUUCAGUCAUAUAAAUUGUAAUUGUGUGUGACCCUAACGCUGAUUCAUCCGUUGUUUCAAGUAAAGUCUCUUUUUAACAAGCAUGGUUGUAGCAUCCGCUACAUGUAGCUUCACAAGGGAUCCAAGCCCAUGAGAAGCUUUGGAGGGCUAUUUUCUUUCUAUAAAAGGGGUGACUCACCAGGUUGCUGACGAAAGCCAGUUGUUGAGAGAAUUUAUAGCUUCCUUGCAAUCACAUUCCAAACGAAGAGAUGAAAGGUGGAGUUUAUCAGCUAAUGAGCUUCCAUGCAGUCACAUUCCAAUCAAAUCCCUAAUCAAAUGUCCUCCUUACACUUGAUAGUCAAUUCCAUACCCAAGAACUUGGUAACCGAGUAAGCAUUUCAGAUGUAAACAAGUCAAUUCAACAGUAAAGUAACUUCAAACUAUUAAGGUAUUUUUUUAGUCAGAAGGGAUGUUGAAUUUUUUGCAGAUGAUAUGGCACAACAUCAAGUUCCACUUUGUCAAAAGAAAAGAAACUCACACAGUCUCCCAAAACAUGACAAAACUUUAAAGCAGUGCUCCCAAAUUGUCUCUCAAGGGCUUUAAGGUCUGGUUUGGAAGGUGGAUGGCCCCUAUAGAAGAAAAGGCAAGUCAAAAUUAAAAAAUAUUAUUAGGUGAGUAUGAGAUACUCAGAGCACUGUACAAACAAUUAAAGUGACAACCUGAUUACUCAGACUACACAGACCAGGAACGUGCUAUGAGAAUGAGGAAUUAAUAUCUAAUAGAAAAAAAAAAAAAUUUAGCAUCUAAUUAUAAAUAUGGUUAAACUAUAAGGGUUCGAAAAAUGUAGGUACCUAGUAAAACAGAGAACAAAACUUGGAUCACCCGGAGAUGACUUCUUGAACUUGCUGUUUGGGAGAUAUAUAUCAAAAACCGGCCUCACUUCAUUAAUCUGUAUCCCAUUGAAUAAUCCAUGGACAGACUUAAUCUCUUCAGUUUCAGGACAAACUUGAGAAGAAACAGAUUCAUAGUUAGUCUUGACACCUUUCCAAGACCAGGGGAUACCAUGUCUUGCAACAAUGUAACCAAGGGAUUUGAGUUGCCUAUAAGCUCUAAAUUCAUCAAAGAAGAUCAUCUUUCCAUCUAAAACCUUUCUAUAUAUGUCUUCCAAGGAAAUACUAGUAUCACUACCAUCCAACAGAAGCAAAGCGCCUAUUUCAACCAAAUACCUAUAAAAGGAUUGUAACAAUUUACUAAUAGUUAAGUAUUAUGCCAUGCAAGGAAUGGUCACUGAAGCUGAUGAGUAAAAUUAGAACUUUCAUGUGCACAAAUUUCGCUCAGAGAGGAAGUCAAUUAUAGCUCUUAUUAAAAUUUCAGUGACUUCAUAACGAUAACUACAACGAAAAGGAAAGAUUUCAUGAGACAACUAAAAGGCCAUCUACAGCAUGAAAGCUUGAAAGGAAAAACUUUAAGCUAUUGUAAAAAAAUUUAACCACUCAGUAAAACAAUAAAAUCAGUGGUAUCAAGAGUGAACAAGCCCAGUUCUUUCCAGUCAAAUCUAUCCCUAUUUUUCAUGAAGUAUAAAGUUGUUGUAAUUUGCCAGAGAAUCUCACACAGAAAAUGAAAAAAAAGAACAAACGAAAAAACGGACAAGAAGGAUGUAAUAAAGUCAAGAAUCACAACACAACGAAGUUAUCUUUUCACUUACAAAACUUCUUCCAUGGAAAUAUAGAGCUUGGCAUUGCAAGAAAUUCCCGUGGUCCUCCAUAUUCUACCCUUUGGAAAUACGACUGCCAUGCCCAUCUCAUCAUCCCAGCGGGCCGUGGAUACACUAGACCUCCUACAAAAUAGCCCACAAAGCUCACUAUGCGAGCAUAUAUAAAACUUUCCUUUAACUUUUUUGUUUUUCACUAAGAUAGUCUGUUUAAGAAUACCAAUAGUUAAAGAUCAUGAUCGAUCUUAAAGUACUAGUAUAAGUACCACCCAACCUGGGUUGAAUCUUGGAUGUGGGCUGAGAAGCAUAGUGGUUUUCUUCUUCUUCAUCAAGGUCAUUGGUAUAUUCUUCAUCCAAACAUUCUUCACACAUAGUCAUUAACUUUUGAGCUCCCUGUGAAGAUCAAGAGCAAAAAUAUAAAGUACAAAAUUAAACAACACACGGCAGAAGUGCAGAAGAAGAUUGGACUUGUUCUAUCAAAAAUAGCCACAUACAAGCUUGAACAAUAAGAAGAAACAUAAAUCCGAUGAAAUCGGUAAUCCUAUUUUCCUAUCUGGGAAAACAGGUGAAGAAACCGUUGUCCAAUAAUUGGAGAUGCAGAUGAGAAUCAGCUGGUGACAGCUGAUAGAUUUGAUAGAAUACAGUUUAACAGCACCAUGAGACUACAGAAUGUUUGGCCCAUAUGGGCAUACCAGGUAUAUUAACAGUAUUUAGAAAUCCAGAGGUUAAGCAUACUCUAGCAAAUUUACAUAUGGCAGAGAUUGGUUUCAUAUUUGCAUGUUAGAAAGACAUAACAAAACCAAAGACAAUUGAAUUAAUCUGAUUGCUGAUGGUCAGGCACACAUGUAAGACAACACACAAACUUACAGACCUAUGUAUUCACUUUAGUACUUCUCCAUAGGGAACUCUUGAGUCUCCCCACUAGAAGCAUAAUUCUUAAAAUUCUCCAAUAUCAAUCCAUUAAGUUACAAUCAGGUCCCUCUCUAAUGGUACAAAUUAGAGUUGCAAAAGCAUACCUUCUCAUUGCUUCCAUUGUGAGCCAAAUUUCUGAGGGAGAGCUCAUCAUCAGUGAAAACAUUUUCAGAAUCAUCUAUGUCAAGAGGCUCCGAGCCUGAAGAAAAUGCAGAAUCAACAAAUUUUUCUAACAAAAAUAAUGGCUACAAUAUCAACAUUGUUGAAAAAUGAAAAAUUGAGUGCCAGAGGAGAAAUUUAAGGUGAGUGGAAUUGAAGUACCAGUAGAGUGAGUGAAACAAGAGACAAUAUCGGAACCGAGUGGCUCCAAGUUUGUUCCAGUUUCACUUUCAAGUACUUUGUCAUCAUCACGGCAUUGUUCUGGCUUCCAUCUUGUGAUUGUACGCUCUUCAACAGCAAAUGUCUCCACACAUGAUGGAGAGUCUACACUAUGACCGUUACUGCUGAUAUAAAGAACCAACAAUGUCUUGGCAACGCCUCCACAAAGCCGAGUAGUACGAUGAAUAUCUAACCACUCCCUCAGUCGCAUAUUUCCAUCACUAUCUUCCUCUGACAACACCAUCACCGCAUAUUCAGAAUGAACUAGAGCUGGAUGAUGGCAGUAGGCAACAAAGUCCACACCAUAUUUAACUCCAGACCUAACAACCCAAUUUUUCAUUCUAAGGUGAGAAUAAGCCUUGUACAAAUAGGGGAACAAUGCUCUUCUAGAUUCCAAGCACUGCCAUAGCUGGCUAUCAUUCUUUGAGCACUUAUCUUCGACAAUCUCGAGGCAUUUUAGAGAAUGGCAUAGGUAAAAGGCCUCUUCCAUACACAACUGAAACCAGUGCUUAUUCUCCAUCAUUCUAUCACCAAAGCAGGCAGAUUCAAGAAGAUUAACUUGCUCUGGUUUCACUUCAAAAAGUACACUGCUGCCACAUAAAAACCCUCGAGAAUUCGAUUCAAUUAGAGAAGAUUGAAGCUGCAAUACUAUAUUUGACAUGGGUUGUGCAAGAGCUUUGGAUUUAGACAGAGACUUAGCUCGAGAGCUGUUUCCUUUCCAUCUAGGCCCCAUUAGACUACAACAUCAUCAUACAACUAAAGCAUUUGAGACCCAUGUUGUUGAAUUUUGAAUAAAAGAGAAGUUAACAAAAACAAACAGCUAUUAACUGAAAUAACCAACAAAUCCCCAACCCAAUUCAUAUUGAAAUCAAGAACAGAAUGAGCAACCGAAUAAAGCGAACAUUAUAGGUGAAUGGUGCUACACAAUACACCCAAUAGACCAACCAACAUACCUUGUUUGUUUAAAGACGGCGGAGGUCAGGAGGUGGAAGGAACGACGGCGGCGGUGGAAAGAAGGACGACGGAGAGGGCGACGGCGGCUCAGUGGGAGUGAGUGCUUUUGUAUUUUGGUCUUUAUACACGGAGUGGAUCCCAGUUCAGCCCGUGCGCCAGCAGAUAACCCAUCAACGCUUUACAGACCGAGAAACUAAUUCUGGUCGAGGGAUCUUGUCAUUUUUAUUAAAAUCUUUAAACCCACCUCUUUGUUUUUUUCUGAAAAUUUAAACCCAUCUAAUCAUUCUUACAAAGACAUUGAGAUUUGAAUGUCUGGCAUCAAUUAGGCUAUUGAAUCAACAAGGUACAGUUCACCGACAAUUAUCGCUUAGAUAUAUCGUGAAAAAUCUAAUACAAGUUAUAGAUGUCCUGGUGCAAUUGCAUUGAAAAUAAUAGGCAAUUCUAAAAUUAUUGAAAUUAACCUAAUUCAGUGACAUUAGAAAGGGAAAUGCUCUAAUGUCUAAAUAUUUGAAAACUAAAACUCAUUCCAUUUAAAUUUUUAUCUCUUAGCUCAUUCCAAUGACUCUUACCAAAAGAACGAUAUUACCCAUCAUUAAAUUACACCUAACCAGAAGCUAACCGCCAUGUCCUUCGUAACAACCUCUCUCUCUCUCUCUCUCUCUCUCNCUCUCUCACUCUCUCUCUCUCUCUCUCUCGUACUCUCGUACUUCUCUCUACUACUCUCUCGUACUCUCUCGUCUACUACUACGUAACUACGUACUACGUACUACUACUACGUACCGUACCUACUCCGUCGUACGUUACGUUACCGUUACCGUUAACCGUUACCGUUAAAAACCCGUUACCGUUACCGUUUACCUACCGUUUACCCGUACCGUUACCUUUACCUACCUUUACUACUUAAACGUCUCUCUCUCUCUCUCUCUCUCUCUCUCUCUCUCUCUCUCUCUCUCUCUCUCUCUCUCUGAUCCUUCGUCGGUGACCUCAUCCUCGCCUCCACCAUCUCCGGCAACCUCUUUCAUCCUCGCCUCUCUCAAAGAAGCACGACGAAGAGUCCUCGCCUCCACCAUCUCUCUCUAUCUCUCUCUCUAACUCUCACUUACAGAUCCGUCGCCGGCGAUCUCAUUCGCGCCUCCACCAUCUCUGGUGACCUCAUCCUCGCCUCCGCUUAUUGCCCCGGCCUCCUCCUCGCCUGUCACUACAACACUACGAGUCCGAAGAGCAGCGUCAAAUCCAGAUCUAGUCGUUCUCCAACGUCGUCUGCACGUCGUUGCUUGGAAACGUCGAUGCGAGCCGAGCUCACCAAGCUCCAUCAUGCACCACUACGGUCUCCGAUUAGUGGUGGUCGUCCUAGCUUGACUGCACAUCGUCUUUGCCUCUACCUUUGGUUUCGGACUCCUACGUCAACGCCAUCAAGAGUUGGUGUUGUGUAAUGGAGAUUGUUUUCUCAAGGGUUAUAAAGUUCUACUGGGGAUAAUAAUGUUCUACUAGGGGUGAUAAAUUUAUUACUGGUGGUAAUAAAUUUAUAACUAGUCCUUUUUUCUAUUUUUUCUUAGGGUUAUUAUUCUUCUAUCGUCUUCGUUUUUUUGUGUUUUAACUAAUUACUAGGGUUCAGUAACUAAUUACUUAGGACUAGUAAUUGAUUACUGAGGGUCAUUAAUUGAUUACUGGGGGUCAGUAACUCAAUUAUUGAGAAAAUCCGGCGACCGGUGACCAAAUUCUGAUGAUUAACUCAAUUAUUGGGGCUCAAUAACUGAUUACUAUGUAUCAGUAAUUAGCCAGUAACUAGGGUUACUGGGGGUCAGUAACUGGUUACUGGGGGUCAUUAACUGGUCAGUAACUGGUUAUUGGGGGUCAGUAACUAAUUACGGGGGAAAUUCCGGUGACCAGAGUCCAGCUGUUGGGGAAAUUCCGGUGGCCGGAGUCCGGAGGUCAGGAAAAUUUCGGUGACCGGAGUCCAGCGGCCGGUGACCGAAGUCUAGUGAGAUUCCGGCCAAGUAUUCUCUCUUCCAUUUUCUCUCUCUAUGCAUGUUUAAGGGGUGAGGGCAAAAUAGUCUUAAAAUAAUAUGAUUUGUUAAGACUUUAAUAAAAAUUUGUGCAUUUAGGCAUAAAAAAUGUUACCUUAUAUUGGAAUGGCUAAUGAAAAAGAUUGUCAUUGAAAUGGGGAAUAAGGAGUUUAAAUUAGUACUAAAUAAGCAUUUUUCCUUAGAAAUAACCUUCCUGGGUUUGCUAGCUGGUUAUCGAGAUCGUGUGUACCUAGUUUGGUAAUGUCACAUUUUUUUUAUCAAUUAAGUCAUCAAAUAUCAUUAAAAGAGGAAGUGUUACAACAAGUAGGGUUACAAUAAGGACAUGAAUCAUAAAGGGCUACUUAUAAAACAAGUCAGAUCGUUUGAUUUAAACCUAGCAACCUACAUACCAAAAAAAAAGCGGAGAUCGAAAAAUCUACAAGCACACGAUGAGACAAUGAUGGCUAUUAAACCGGUUGUGGGCAUGGUUGAACCAAAUGCAUACCAAUAUAGUCAUGGCUCUCAGACUCGAGAAGGAGAAACAUGCGUAAAUUUAGCCAUCUCUCCUUUUAUUACAAGGCCUUCCACUUUUGCUUUUCUAUGCCGGUGAAUACGUGAUAAGGCAACUGGCAACCCUUGCGAGCCGGACCUUAACCUGUCAUAAGUAUUGUUGUUUUGGCUUGUUUGUUAGAUAAAGUUCAACUUAGCUUCAUCUAAGGUAGGCCUUUUGGUAAGAUUGUCCCUUCAUCCAACUUAGCUUCAUCCAAAGUUACCAAAGCACAAAAACCAUGAUCUUCUCAGAAUGAAUUUUAUACAAAGAGUGCAUAACCACAUAGGUAGAUCGCUCCUACUGGUUCCAUGACUUCCAUCGAUAUAGACUUUAGAUUCCAAAAUAUUCAUUUAUCAGAUGUGUGCCAAGUUCUGCUAUAUGAAUAUAUGUAUCCUCAAAACUGAACUAGCACUGUAUUCAGUAUUCUCAAUUUGUGAAUUCAACUUUGCAGUGAUUGCAAAAAGAUGAUGAAGAGCUCCAAAAUCACCAAUGAAGUUUGAGUGAAAACGUACAAAACCAGUCUGUUUGUUUUCCUGCUGACAGCAAUCCCAGGUACAGCUAGCUAGCUGUUCGCUGAUGCAUGAAAAUAAUUUGUCUAACUGUGACAUAAAUAAUCAGUAUUAUAUAGCUUGUGAGCAACUUGUAUAUCAUGAUUAUCAAUCUGAAUUCGAUCUGAAAUGUAAAUGCAACAGAUAUUCAUGCUAACAUAACAUUUACCAACUUCUGGAAGAUCCAAGGAUAUCAAACUCCUCUCAGCAGGCAUUUCUGUCAUAGUCAAAUUUAUACUAGCUUUCUGUCAAUACACUCCAUACAAACAAACAAAGAAAUUGAUGAAACGGAACCACUUGUAGCUCUUCACUGAUAACGGAUGAUGUGUCCCUGUCAGAUAAAUAUUUUUUUUUAUUUUUUGAAAGAAGAAACUUUCUCAUAAUUUCUUAAUUACUCACAAUUAUCGAUCCCAUUCAAGGGUCUUAUUAGCUUUGCAAACCUUUUGCCGAAGUCUAGCUAGCUAGCUAGACAGGUAGUGGUUUACUCUUAUGGUACUUCUUCCAUAGUCUUGAACCAGCCAAACACAUGAGAUAGAGGGCAGGUAAGGCGCAUAAUCUGAUAGGACUAUUAGCAUUGUAAAAGAAGUAAAUAUACUGAACUGUGGAGAAAACGCAUUGAUAGAUGCUACUGACUAAUCCGUAUGUGUCUAAGUGACUUUCGAAGAAAGUGUCCGAAAGAUGUGGAUAAGAUAUACAGUGUAGUUUUUUCCAGCUCUUCAGUACUAGGCUUUUCCUUUGAAUCAGCUCCCAAAUGCAAGUGAAUACAGCUGCAGCAGCAAGCAGCAUUGCAAUUAAUGCAUAGUGCGGUUUGCUUGGCGAAGAAGCUUGAUCGAAACCAGCAGAAAGAAUCACGAGGAUGAGGGUAAAGAGUAAGAAGUUCCAUUCUGCUGAUGAAGUAGCCUACAUAUAAUGUAGAUAGAAACUUUUUCAGUUAAAAAUUGAAGAGAUAUAAUAUGGAAUUGAAACUGUUCUUUGACUAUGGUUAUGAGAUUCGAGCAUUACAUCCACUGUGGCCUUUUGCUCCUCAUGGUUAACGGUGAUGAUCUUGUCCUUGACACUGGUAUUCCUGCUGACCUCGUCUACUGGUUGCUCAAUAAUCUUCUCCUCAACACUGGUAUUGGUGCUGACCUCGUCUACAGAUUGCUCAAUAAUAUUCUCCUGCAGUAUAUAUAGAUUAUAUAUACAUGUAAUAUAUAAGCAUAACAUAGUAACUUCAAGUAACAUCAUCUGUAAAGCAAUUCUGUUUUGUUUUAUAACAAUAAUCUUUUUUCUUAUCGAUGGAAGAAAGCAAACACAAACGAAAACCCCUACAACAAUUGAAACCAAAGCUAUCAAAGUAAAACAAAACAGAAUUUCAUUUUUAUGCUCAAGAAUUAGAAUGUACCGUUUCCUUCCUGAGGAUACAUCGUUUUAAAGAUUGCACGAUAUCAUUGUAAGCGCUGUUUGAUCCCUACCAUCAAGAAAGAAAGUACUUAGUUUUUGAAUCAUUUCAAGAUGCAUAUAGAACCGAGUUUAUUUAUAUCAUUUCAUGCUUACUUAUGAGAUUCAGUAUGCCAUCCAGUUAAACUUGCCACGGAUGUCAAAGAAGCCCUCCAACGUUUAACCUUGUCCGAGUCUUGUUCUUGUUCAUGCUUGGCGAAGCUUGCUCCAAUAGUUCCUUUUUGUUUUCGGACAUCUGAGGGGUCGACAAGGUGAAAGCCUGGGAAGAUGAGACUACUUGAAUCCCUGUUUGCUUCAAGAAUCUGCACAAGUUGUUCCAAGAGCCGAGGGGAGGAAGUCCGGCGAGAUAAUAACUAGGGCGACCUUCGAGUCUGAUUCCGACCUCCAGGGAAGCUGUGCUUUCUGCUCCCUCAACCUCUUGGCUGUCUCUGAGAGUGAGAAUUCCUUCAUCCUUCAAAGCCUUGUGUAGAAGAUAUGAAAAGUUGCCUGCGUCCUGGCUUGAGCUGCUCAAGAAGACGUCGUACUUCCAUGGAGCUGAGGCGAUGAGUGAGGCCAUCUGUUACACACUGAGGAGAUGAGCCGUCGAUUCGAAGGCACCUGCUUGGUUUUGACUUUUGAAUGAGAGGAAACUGUGCUAAAGGCUAAAAGAAAAAAACGCAAGGCUGGGAAGUUUCUCUUUUGACCAACGACCAAAGUCUUUCUUGAGUUUCCACAACGCUUCAUAUUUCAUUGUCCAUAACGUACUGUACGCCACAAGAACAACUGCAUGCUUCUUUCUUUCUGGUCAGGGCAGUCCAAUACUUCUUACAUUCCAGAAAAACACGCAGACGAUUCUUCACAAAAUAAGAUAAUUUAAGGAGACCAAACAAAAAAUGUUAGUCCUCGAUCAACGACCAACUGCUUUUUUACACUAGAAUAUUAGGGGAUCAGAUCGAUAGAUACAUUUUGUUUCCGGGACAAAAUUUCCAAACUAUGACUUCUCGGACUCGAUCGGUCCAUGCCACCAUAACAAAUUCAGAGCGAUAAUGAAGUGCUAGCUUCUUUUAGGAUAUCUAUUUAGUAUCAUUCCAUAUUCCUUAUAUUUGAACCUUUCUUAUGCUUGACCAAACACCAGGUCAAUUCCACAUAAUCUGCUUCAGGCCUUCAGCUUCAUCUUUCUUAAAGGCUUUCUGAGCAAAGAGUCGUUAUGCUUCUUUAAAUCCAUGUGCCACCGCCAUAUGCAGCACAACUCUUCCAUGACGAAUUAGCAACUCUUCAUUUCUAGUUGUAACAAUGAUUCUGACCAGCCAUUGCUCCUUUCCGCUAAUGUUAAUAUAUAGUUGGUCUAGCUAGCUCAUUGGCAUCAUCAAGGAUAAGAACCUUUUUAUUUUGGAAACAAUGCUCAAUCAUACUGGCUCCACCAGAACCGUACAUUGGAUCUUCUACGAAGUUCUCCUUCAAGAUUUAAAAAAAGAAGCAGGUUUGAAGAUGAACCAGACCGUGUUUUUCAGUAAUAGAAAUAUACCAUGUUUCAAUCUUAUAAUAGAAACGAACUUGUGAUUAUUUUCAGUAUAUACUCCAGCCAAAACUUGCUUUAUGAAAAGGUUGCAAAAGAAAACAAACUAUAAACCCCGAAUAAUACUUUCCAUGGAUCCAACUGCGAAUUCGUGGCAAUUUAUUGUAAGGUAAUAGCUAUUUGUAGUGUUGUACAUCUAGCAUAAUCGUAGAAGAAAAUCAUGUAUAUAAUAAAUUUGAUCAUUUAGCUAUGAAACUGAAAUUCUUAACAGAUCGAUGAUAUACAAUAGCUAUAUGCCCAUAUCUACUCAUCAGUUGUUCACAAAUGAACCAUCACUAAGGUUCGUUUACUCACAAUUAUUCUUUGUACUGGUAUCUAGCUAGAUUUCUGAUCAAUAAUGAUUAUGAUUGCUGUGUAGUCUUGAACCAGCCAAACACAAAAGAAAGAUUGCUGGUAAAAAUGAUAGUUUUAUAGGACUAUCAGCAUGCCAAGAGAAGUAAAUGUAUUGAGUAAUAGAGCAUAUGCACUGAGCAGCGCCUCCAAAUAAUCCGUAAAUGUAAGGGAGAGUACCAAAAGGCACGCUAUCGUGGGGAUGUGGAUAAUAAUACCACCAGAGUUUUCCGAACUUCUUCAGUACUACUUUAUUCUUUAUGCCCUUGUAAAUGAGCUCCAAAAUGCAAGUGAACAAGGCUGCAAUAGAAAACAGCAUACCAAAUAGUGCAUACUGUGGCUUACUUGAGGAGGAGGCCUGAUCAAAACCGGUUGACAAAAUCUCUAGGCCAAGGUUAGUGAUCAAAAAGUUCCACUCUGCUGAAGUAUCCUACAAUAGUAUACAGUAAUUAAGGAGAUUAUUAAACAAAAUAUGCAAUAAAAGUGUUGGCCAGUUAACUAUAAUUCUGAGUUUUUACCACCAAAUCUGUAGUGUGCAUUGGAUGGUUACGGUUGCCCUCGUUAACAUUAAUGCUAGUGUAUGCAACCUGCAUAUAUUGAAUUGUAGUUGAGAAAUACAUACAACUUGCAAACAGGGGAGUGUAUCCUGAGCUAAUUUCAUAUGCAAGUAUCUUUGAAGGUAAAAGGUUGUUGGCAAUCCUUAUAUAGAACAAAACACAACCUAUGAAGCCUAAAGCAAUUGGGAGAUUGGUCUUGCACACCUGAAGAACAAGUUGAAGAAGUAGAAGAACCAAUAUGAUCUCAUGGAACUCAGGUAAAAUCAUGCAUGUGCAUUUCAUGGUUUUUCACAGAGGAUAGCAGUAUCACUUGCCAUCCUAAAAAUCUGGGUUUCCAGCUUUUUGAUCUUUUGUUCUGUUGUCUUAUGUUUAAGUUUCUUUACCCUUGUGGCAUUAAUUUUAUGUCUAGGGGAGAUCCUAAUUUGAAUUUCAAAUUGACAACUAGAAUAUAUAAAGAUCUUACCAUUGUGGUCAAUUUAGUUUUGGGUUUGAUGCCUUUGUUUCAACCCGUGACUUAUGAUGUAAAAGCUCUAAGGCUACAGCUGUGUCUGUGAUACACAAACCAAUAUAACAGCUGUCUUUGUAUGUUCUCUCCCUUUCAGAGUUUGGCCAAGGACAAAAGUCCAAAACUCCUUCCUUGCUUUGGCCCUCGUGCUUGCCCUCUUGUGGCACCUCUUUGGCUUGUGUCUCUCUCUUGUUAGAGCACUCUAUCAGCCUAUAUAUACUGAGCAAGGCUGCCUUUGCUCAGUGGUUGUCAUAAUGUAGUUUUUACAUUUGCAUUGUUAGGUUUUGGUUUUCUUUUGCAUUGUUCAUUAGUCUCUAAGUCUUCCUUUUGUGAUUAUAAACCUUAGAGCUGAACAAAACCUCUUCUCAUAAACUCAUUGCAUUCUGCAUACCAUGAGAUCAGUUGGUAGUGCAGCAACCCAGGAAGUGUUCAUGAAAGAAGCAGCUGAGGAUAGCUGAGUUCUGAUGUAUCCUGCUGAGGUAGUUGGGUUCAUGAAAGAAUCAGUUUAGGAUAGCUGAGUUUCUGAGAGUGAAACUUCUUAGAAGUCUUCAAGAAGAAUCAGUUAAGUGAUAGCUGAGUUCUUAGUUGAAACUUCUUAUACCUUCAUGUGUAGCCACUUAGAGACAAGAGAGCUAGAUCUAGACUAGUUUGGGACUAGGUAGGAUAGCAAGUCGUUGCUGUAUCCUAUACUGUAAUCUUGUAAGGAGUGAGGUACUCAGAAACAAGAAAGUAUAGAUCCAGACUAGUGGGUAGUUUAGGCAGGAUAGCAAGUCAUUCAUGUAUCCCUAGACUAUAAUCUUGUAAGAAGUGAGUUUUACAUAGUGGAAAGGUUUGUCCCUCAAGAGUUAAGGGCACGCAGUUUUUCUCCCUGGUUGCAGGGUUUCUGCGAGUAAAAAACAUCUUGGUGUUCAUUGUUAUUUUACUGCAACUUUUAUUUAUUGUCAUUGUGUAUUUGUUAUUCAGGAUAGCUAUAACCCUUGCUAUCCCUGAGAACGAAUUUAUACGAAAAAAAGUUGUUAAGGGCCUAUUCACCCCCCCUCUAGGACCUUUAAACUUGUAAAAAGUGUGAUGGCAUUAUCUGCAUCAAGUUAAAGACAGUUCUAUGUCAUUUUAGUCUAAAGUAAAAUCUUACCAAGUUGUGUGUGGAUGUCGGAUGCACUCUUUCGGUUGGACUUGGUAUAGGAUGUAUUUUGUUCCAGACUGCUUCAGUAAUUUCUUCUAGAACUUGUACUUCAUUCCUAACAUCAAGAAAAGGAGAGAAUGGAUACUCAGAUCAUUCUCUUAAACAACUAAUUACCCUCAAAAGCAUACGCUAUCGGCGAAUAUGCUAACAAUGUAUAUCGAGCUAACACAUCUGCUCAUAAUUUACAACCUUUACCUAUCAUUGGAAGUCCAACCAGCAAAGUUGCAUACUUUGGUUAAAGCAUCUCUCCAAGCUUCAACCUUUGCCAAGUCAUCCUGAAACAUUUCUUCAUGCUUGGCAAAUGCUUUCUCAAAAGUCCCUUUUUGUUUUUGGACAUGGAAGAGAUUCACAUCAUGAAAUAUCGGUAGAAUCCUGUUCCUAUCUUUCAUGCACUCGAGAGUUUUGGAAAGCUCAUUCAAGCGCCGUGGAGAAGAAGCAUAGUUUUGCGAGAGAACAACAAUGGCAAACCUCGAUUCUUCGAUUGCACCAUAGAGCUCAAGAGGGGUUGUGUUUCUUGCAAAUUCAUGGCCAUCCAGGAAAGUACAAAUUCCUCGAGACUGCAACUUGUGGUACAAGUGGGAGCAGAAAAUGUCUUCAUGGUCACAACUUAAGAAAACAUCCACCGCCCAUAAAGAAGCUGAAGGAAUAGAUAUCCGUAAUGGAAAUGGAAUAGAUACUCUCUGCUUCUUCAAAACCAUCUGAAAAGUCGAGCGUUUUCUGUAUUCAUUUUUCAGUCUGCAAGUUGGGAAACGAAAUUUGGUCAAUGAUUUAUCUGGGUCACGCGGUUUCUAUUAUGGAAAAUUUGAGUUCAGUACCCCAAUUAUAGCUCAUUGUGACUUUUUGACACAUAAAUUUUCAGAAUUGCCACAUUGGUAUCUAACGUUAGAAACAGGACACAUUUUAUUGACACCGGUGACCGGUCUUUAAAAAUUUACAUGUCAUCAAAUGUCAUUGGCGGCAUAUACUAAAAGUGUGUUAGGUUAUAAAUUUCUAGGCCGAGGUUAGUGACCAGAAAGAUCCACUCUACUGAAGUAACCAAGUGUUUUCUGUAAUCACGUCAACCUCCCAAGUCGAAAAAAUUUGACCACACAGUUCUACUGUCAGCUGCCUUUCCUUUCACUUGCAGUCUCUAAUUUAUUUCUAGAGGCAAAAGAAUAGAAAAGCAAAGCAACAAAUUAAGUAAAGAAGUAUAAGCACUAAUCCACUUGUGUGAAGCUUCUUUAUUCAUCAAGUAGUGUUGGUGUAGCGUGUGCUCCAUAUAUGUAGGGUUCUUGCAAACAACAUUAGCACACACCACAACCUUACUAGUUGAUGAUGAUUGCCUUAGUAGAAGUGUUAACACAAUGUUAGGGAAACGGGUUUACUCGAUUAAAUCUGAUCCAUGCAUAUUUCCCUUCAACAAAAUACAGGUCAUCGAAGAAAUGAAGAAUGUAACAGACCUACCAUAGCACCAAAAGCCAUGAUUUUCUCAGAAAUGGAUUCUUUUUCAAAACUGUGCAUGACAUCAUUGAUAAACCUGUACUAAACUCUUCCAUCAGAUACAAUUUUGCAGUGAAUUCCUGAUGUGGAGCAUUGAGCACAACUUUUUAAAGAUCAAAUGAUGACAAACAUCACUACAUAUACAGAAAGGAUGAAAAAGAAACACAAAGGAUGUCAUUGCAAUAGUGCAAGCCAUUUUGUUCAAUGUUGUACCCAAGUAACUAACCGAAACACUGUCAAUGUUGCUACAAGAUUGAUACAUUUCAACUUGAUGCAUAUAAUAAAUACACGAGUGAUAACCACAAUUAGCUUGUCAAAACAUACAGAUUAUAAUGGUAAAAGAAGAAGACAAUGGCAUUGAUUUCAAUUAUUUUACCACUAUCCCAUUAGGAGCUGAUUAUCCUAGUCCUCACUUGCACCAUCUGUUCUUGAAGAUCCACUAGCUUUAGGCUGACUUCUUACUCCUCCAUCUGGUUGAGUACAACUCCAUUCAAAAUAUCUUUAGAAAUUAGGAAGAUAUCUUGAGAAUUGAGGAAGGCUCGUCCUCUGAUUUUGAACUUUGAGAAACCGUAGAUUACACAUUGAAGAGAAGACUUCAGGAUUCAUGUCAACUUGCGUCAUUGUUAGUUGAAAUUGAGUUGAAGUCGUAAGCUUCUUGUUGAACGAUCCAUCCAUGUCCAAUACUGAUUGAUUCAAUUGUUGACAGAUUACGGCGUUCAAUAUUGAUCUUACACCGACUACGGCGUUCAAGUCACAAACAGAAGUUUUAGCUUUCCUUUUUUUUGUCCUCAUAGGAGCACCAUGUACUGACUUGACCAUUUUUUGUCCUUCAUCAAUUGCAUAAACAAGAACUAGAUCGGAGCCGUUUCCUUCCUUGUGUAGCACACUAAUAAAACAAUGAAAAAGGACGAGAAAAUCCGUUGCCAACUAGAAUUUGGAUUUGUUCAGGUUGGAAUAUAUAUAUACAAUAACAUUAACAAUAGACAUGCCCUGGUUAUAAUAAUUUCCUUCUCUUCAAUUCAAUUCUGAAACCACAAUUUUGACUGUACUUUCCAAAAGAAUGGGAAUAGGAGUAAGCAAACUGGUCAAUGUCAUCUCUUGUUUUACCAACAAAGAAGUGAAGUACCAUCUUUUGUGGCUCAGAAUGAAGAUCUCGUAAGAGAAAUCCUCUUAAGAUCCAACAAAGAAGUGAUAGCACCAUCUUCUAUGGCUGAUAAUCAAGAUCUUGUAAGAGAAAUCCUCUCAAGAUUACCCGUCAAGUCUUUAGUUAGGUUUAAGUGCGUAUCAAAAGAGUGGUUUGCUCUCCUAAAUCACGAGAUAUUCUGAGGAGCAAUCUUAGUAUACUCUACCUUCACAGUUGUGAAGGUAGACAUCAUCAUCACAAGUUCUCAUUGCUUGACAGAAAAGUCGACAAACUUUCGAGAGUAGAGUCACCUGCAUUCAUCCUGGAUCAAUCGUUUGAGAAAAUAUAUAUUGCCGGAUCUGAUAGUGGUUUGGUCUGCCUUCAUCUUCUUGGAGAUGCUGGAACCCAAUUAACGGAGCAAAUCGUCGUAUGGAACCCAGUAACAAAACAAUAUAAGAAACUACCUAAGCCUCACUUGUCUUUGGAGGGGGAUAAGAUGUUGAAGAUGUUCAAGGCCGCACCACUUGUAGGUUUUGGAUUCAUUCAAGACCAUGGCAUGGAUAUCGAUUACAAAGUGGUGAGGAUUUCAAAAUGCAAUGAUGGAAGACUUGCAACCCAAGUCUUCACCCGAAGUGCAAAAUCAUGGAGAGUACUUAAAGACUACGAUCUAAAAUGUUUUGGGGUUAUUAAAGCGUCUUGCAUUACUUUGAAUGGAGUGAUGUAUUUCUUGUCAUGGACCUGUUCGUGGGUCUACGAGGGAUGGAGAGUUUUCUCAUUCAAUCUGCAGCAUGAGGUGAUUGAUAGCAUAUCAUUACCGUUUCCGUCUGAUAUUCAUGUUAGUAGAAUAAGCGGAUCACUCUUUGCAUGGAACAAUUUGGUUGCUUGUUCGUUAUGGGUCGACAGACAUAAUCCCCAGUAUGAUGUUUGGGUGUUGGCACCAGAAUCUAGAGAUGAUCAUACACAAAUGCCAACUAGCUGGAAUUGGACGUUACAAUUUACUGUCAAAACUCCCGAUGGAUGGUACUGUGGACGUCCCUAUGGAGUUUGGGAUAAUCAACUUAUUUUUAUCAAAGGCUGUACUGAUAGACGGCGUCACACAGGUUCUGAACGUCAUCUAUGUUCGUAUGACCUCGAAAAUCAGAGAGAGAUGAUGCUUAUCGGACCAGAAGGUGGUUAAUGUCGUCAAGUGGUAGAAUACGUGGAGAGCCUAGUUUCGGUCUAAGCAAAUAAAUACCAUGGAUCAACAAGCUAGGGUUAAGGUAGUUUUUCUUAAUUCAGAAGGAUAAAAUAGUUAAAGCGAAAAAACAGAUAAUGUCUUCAUCCCCUGUUGUAUAUAAGGAAAUUAGGUUUUUGUGUGUGUUUUAGUCAAAGUAUAAAUAGAAUAGGAUUCAAUAUGAAUAUAUGUAUUUUCCUUAUGUAUCGUAUUUUUUAUAUAUAGAAGUUAAUUCUAUGAAUGAAAUAUAUCGAUAUUCUCCCCAAAUUGUCUCUCUCAGUUUAUUUCUCUUGUAUACACGUUAUCAGACACUCUACUUUAACCCUAACUUUGAUAAGCCAACACGAAAAAAAACCCUAACCCUAGCCCUUGCCGUGCACCCCUACAACACAAAAACCAAUUUCAGGCGGACGAGAAUCCACCAACGGCCCCAGAACACAUCUUGUACCCACUGAUUCCACGAUUCCAACGCUGCCAAACUCACCACAAGAAUCGGCCGUAAAGACACCGAACCGGUUGCUAGAAUCUAUAGACUUGUCAACAAAAUCCUCCGAUUCACCCUCUUCCCCGAAUCCAUUUAACGCCAAAUUUUGUCAACAAAAGCGCACCUAUGUCAGGCCUAAUUGUCUAGAACCAUACAACAAGAACCGGUCUACAAGUUGGUGAACCGGUCUUCAAAAUGAUUGCAACACAAUUUUUAAAAAAAAAAAAAAAAAAAAAAAAAAAAAAAAAAAAAAAACCUAAAAGUCUAAUUAUGUUUUAUUUUACUUUAGAGAAAAGCACUUUGGUAUCCCACUUUACAAAAAUAUCAGUUUGGUUUCCUACAUUCACACCCGUACCUAACAUAAGUACCCGAAAAUAUAAAAAAACCGCUGACAAUACAUACAUAUUUCCACAGACCUCAGGUUGAUAUAAUCUGAAUUUUAAUGGAGAAGAGCAUACAAAAGAAAAUACAAUGCAUACUGAAUUACAUACAACCAUGAUGAUAAAAGGACCAGAAAGUACUAAAGAAAAUCAUAACUUCAUAGAGGAUUCAGCAACACGAGUAAUGGAGAAGAGCAGUAGAUUAGCAAAGGUAUUGGUGUUGUGAGAAACUGGACAACAACAAUGUAAAAGGGGUAGAAUAGCCGCCCUUGCUUUCUUGUUUUUAAAUUUCAUAGUGGGAGAAAAAAGAAUUGUUUACUGGUGAAAGCAUAAAUUGAUACUUUAGUGCAUAACAUUAUCACCAAAAUCCCUCAGCUGUGUAAACUUCAUAUAAAAUUAAAAGGGAAAACAGAAUAACAUAAUUCUAAGAUGAGCAAUUUCCAUCAUUAUCAGAUUUAAAGUAGGAUUCUAUCCAAAAAUAUGAUUUAUGGUAUGGUAUGACCUUGUCCAUGCUAAACUCCAUGGUUUCCAAAACAAUCAAAAGAGCAAUAAAGACUAAGCAACAAUAUCAAUCCAUGCCACCUUCAAGCUGGUGCAGCUUGCAGUAGGGGAUGCUCAAACUAUGCUAAAAGCAUCUGCAAAGGAGAUUUUUAAAGAAUCUACGAUCAAAUAAAAGCACAAUUGUGUGACUGACCAAAAUCUUGCAUUAUGCGCAACAAGUAAUAGCUGAACCACUAGAAAGCACUCUCCUGGUACAGCAAGAUUCUUGAGAGUUCCUAAGAGAGCAGAAAUCAGAAGACUCGGGAGACAUCAUGAGAACAAAUGGGAAACACCCAUUGAUUCUAAGAACUACAAAAGGCAGGAGUUCAAUAGAACAAAGUACUACGGUACAACAACAGCACGCUGCUAAAAUAAAUGAAUCACUUGUGCCUCCCGCAAACACAAUUCUCAGACCCUACAUCAGCUGCAAUACAUGGAGGCUGAACUUUCCCAUCCUUGUACCAUGUUGAGCGUUUUUCAACUAGUUCGUUUAAGAAAUCAUCCAGUUUAUCAACGCUCACACUUGGCAUCACCACAACAUGUGCAAUGUUUCCUUGGCAAGCCAACUGCCACCUACGAACAAACUCCUCAUCUUGAGGCCGCUCAAAUACAACUGUGCUACUUAGCUCAUUCAGCAUGGCACUAAUCCCAGCAUCACGAAGACGGUCUUUCAAGUAGUGAGCAUUUCUAAGACACUUCUGAACUUCUUUUUGGAAUCCUUUGUAACCUUUUCUGUUGAGGGUGUACCAUAGGAAAAUAGGAGCAUGGCCAUUCCUGCUUCCCAUGAUUGUCGCAUCCCUUGAAGCAAGGUAUUCUACAUUAUUUGAAAGGACAUUAAUGUGCUCCAGCCUUGUUAUCUGAACACCACAAGGCAUUGGACAUCCUACAAACUUGUGACCAGAAACGCUCACACUUCCAAUGGGCUUCUUGAAAGAAACUUUUGGUGCCUGCUCACAACUAAACAUAGUGAGCAACAGAAGAAAACAACCCAGAACAGAAAAUUUUGCAUAUUACAUAGAGAAGGAAACAGAAAAUAGUCUAAGAUGCUCCUGUUAUUCAAACAUAUGCUCUGUAUCGCAUCCUCAAGAUUUUUCUUUUCACUACUCCAUGCUGAUCUGUCACCUACGACUCACACUAGCUAAAACUAGGCCAGCUCCAAUCCCAUUCUUGGCUAACAGUUUAAAGUUUCAACAUUUAUUUACAACAUGAUCCACUUAUUCAUGCAUUGUCUAUCUCUACCAUCCGACCAAAGAUAUCAUCCGUUUGCAUCAAUAUGAAGGAAACAUUAUCAUCAAAAUGACAGCAAUGAAUUACUAUAGUCAAAUAGAGCAUGGCAAUCAGAUAACCAUGGCUUUUUUAGGUAAACUGGACACUUAAACUAAAUGUUACAUGUCCAAUUGGCUAAGGCAAAUUUUAAACAAAAAACCUCAGGACCAAAUCCCCAAUUAUGGAACAAAAAUGUUUUAAAUGGGCAUAAUAAAAUUCCUAUGCAGAACAAGGGUUGAAAUUAGAUGACAUACAAGUUUGACGAAAGGCAUCAUGAGUCCAAAUAAGGCUCCAUCACAGUGAAUGUAGAACCGAUCAUGAUUGAAUCCACAUUCUUCAAGGGUUUUUAUGACAAGAUCCAGAUCAUCCACAGCCCCUUUAACAGUUGUUCCUGCAAAUUGCAAUGCAAGAAACUCAACUCACUGAACCAAACAAGUAAAAAAACACAAACCAGAACAGUGAAAUUAUGUUUUGCCUCAACUUACACUUACCUAUGUUAACAUUAAUGAUAGCCGGUUUGUCCUUGUUAGCAAGAAGCUUAGCUCUAAAAUCUGCGCAAUCAAUCUCACCGGACAUCAGAGUAUCAACCUUUACGCAUUCCAUUCUAUACAUUCUCGCUGCUUUAAAUAUCGAAUAAUGUGUAUCCUUGGAAGCAUAUAGAAUCCCAUCCGGAUGCACUUCUCUCCUGCAAUCAAUCAAAUUCUUUAGUUUAGCCAUAACUAGCUCAAUCCUUCAUCCAGUUCAAUAGAAUCGUAGACUUACCCAACUAGAAUUCCAUGGAGAUUUCCUUCGGUACCGCAAUUGGUGAUGUAACCCCAGUACUCAUUCUUCUCAAUCUCCCAAAGCCGAGCAAACCAAUCAAGAACUCCCACCUCAAACUGCCUCGAAUGGACUCCGUAGUUGCUCUCAAUAAACGGAUCGCCGAGAUUGUUGAUCGAGAAAUGCUGCAACUGGCUCAGAGCUCCAUAGUCGAAAUCCAGAUUAUAAGGAUACCCUGCAUCGAAUUGAAUUUCAAUUUCAAAGAUUCAACUUCCAAGAUUCAAUUGAUUUUGAACUACUGAAAAGAGCGACGACGUCGUUUUGGAUUUGGAUUUUACCUAAAUGGUGCUUGGUGCGCUCCAUCAGAGUCUUGCGGUAGCGAGCGAGGACGCUGGCCAUGUAGGCGUCCUUGUCGCCGGUGAACUCGUCGUUGGCGUCGGGCUCGGUGACGGCGAGGCAGGUGGUGUGGACGUUGCGGCCGAGGACGAUCUCGCGCUUGUUGGGAUCCUCGGCGACCUUGCCGAUGAGGUUGCCGUUGGUGGUGACGACGGGAGGGAGAGGCUCGGCGACCACGGCGGUGGGGUCGAAAUGCUCGGAGAGAAUGUCGACCAGGCCAACAACCCCAUUCUCAAUCUCCAUGAAAUUCUGCAACGAAAUCUAACAGCUUGAAAACUUGAGAGGGAGAGAGAGAGGAGUUGGAGAGGAAGGGAAAUGAGGGGGGUUGGGGUUUAUUUAUAGUGUCGAUAUUUUUAAGCUGGGUUUAACACGCACUCCCUAAUAAUUAGUCAAAUAUUCCACGUCUGCUCUUUUCUGAUUUUCUUCAUAUCGAUUAUUAAUUUUUUUAUUUUUUAUCAAUAAUUAGAAUUGAUUUGAUUUCAGUAGCCGACCCUUCAAUCAUCAUAGAGUUUCAUUAAUAGUGUCCAUAAUGACAUUAUCUUUCACACCUUAGGUGGUUGAGUUGGUAGAAACGGAACCGUAUAUUUAGGUUCAAAUCUCGCCGAUGUUAAUUGGAAUUAAAUCUCAAUUUAUUCUUAAUGGUUAAGGGGAGGAAACGUUCUCACAUGAUUAUUCGGCUCGGAUUAAUCCUUGGGUCUAAAAAACCUUUGAAGAUAUCGUCGUUGAUACUCUAAAAAAAAAAAAAAAAAAUCUUCUACAGAUAUGAGGUUUUUACUGCAUUCAUGUUUAUUGUUAAGACUUGAGACGAUAUUGUGGCUCACAUCUUAGCCAAUUUUACUUAUUUUUCUUAUAGUUAUUUAACUUGAGGUCUAGAAUAUUCAGCUUGUAUUGUACUGUUGAAUGUAAUUUUUAACGAGUUUACCUGGUUUCUAGCAUUUUAUGAAUUGACAUUUUUUCAAAGAAAAGGAAAUUGUAAAGUAAUAUAUCUAUAUCUUGAGAGUUGUUUUUAAAUGAUCAGUAGCAUUUUUGUUCUAUUAUGUACAGGUAAACAAAAUUAGAACUACAUACAAAACAUCUUUUUACUUUCUAUCAGCUGAUUCAAACAGAACAUGGGAGACACAAAAAGAGAAACAAGUUAAACCAAAUAAUCACUACCAAAGUGUCAUUUUUGUUCUAUUAUGUGAUAAAACGGUUUGCUUAGAGAGGAAGGAAAAGUGGAAAACUGUGAAUAUUCAGAAUCUGGCAGAAUAUAAAACUUCGUCGGUCUGCACAGAUAUUUCAGUAAUUGCAUAUACUCCUCACGUUGAUUGGGCCAUUGGGGUAUAGUAGUAGCAGGACCACAUCCAUUUCUGAAAAUAAAUUAAUCACUGUCACGUGGCCACUGCCCAUGCAAAGCGAAAGACAACACAAAUUGAAUUUCCCUACCAUCAACUUCAAACACUUAUUUCUUUAAAAGUGAUUAUUCAAAAAAAGGAAGAAAAUAUUAAAUAUAAUUUGUUAAAAUUAAUAUGCAACUGGACUCUUGCUCUUGCUGGGACAACUUGGCGACUUGCCUUGGCGCCAGUAUAUUUUUCUCUUUUAUUUUCUGCGACGGGUUCUCUUGGGAAAGUAAACAAAUGUGAUCCCCUUCUUUAUUUUUGUGUGUUCAUGAUCAUAUCCAGAGACUAGAGUAGAGCUACGGAGGACCAUGCCUCUCCUCGAUCAUGUGUUCACUCGCAAUCACUCUAGCUUCUCAAAUAUAGUAGGAACUAGGAAGUAGUCAUCUUGAAUUGUUCAGUAAAAUUGUCAUAUAUUGGCUGCGUUUGGUGCAGCUGGGCUUUUAAGAAUAAGUAAGUUUUUACUUAUUCUUGAGAAUAAAUGGCUGAAAAACCAAAUAGCCGAAUGUUUAGUAAACUGACUUUUUAUAAG
rnacentral:lncRNA from 1 species